rnacentral:rRNA from 1 species
CCUACGGGUGGCAGCAGUGAGGAAUAUUGGUCAAUGGACGAGAGUCUGAACCAGCCAAGUAGCGUGAAGGAUGACUGCCCUAUGGGUUGUAAACUUCUUUUAUAUGGGAAUAAAACGUUCCAUGCGUGGGAUUUUGUAUGUACCAUAUGAAUAAGGAUCGGCUAACUCCGUGCCAGCAGCGGCGGUAAUACGGAGGAUCCGUGCGUUAUCCGGAUUUAUUGGGUUUAAAGGGAGCGUAGGUGGAUUGUUAAGUCCGUUGUGAAAGUUUGCGGCUCAACCGUAAAAUUGCAGUUGAAACUGGCAGUCUUGAGUACAGUAGAGGUGGGCGGAAUUCGUGGUGUAGCGGUGAAAUGCUUAGAUAUCACGAAGAACUCCGAUUGCGAAGGCAGUUCACUGGACUGCAACUGACACUGAGGCUCGAAAGUGUGGGUAUCAAACAGGAUUAGAUACACGGGUAGUC